rnacentral:rRNA from 1 species
AUUGAACGCUGGCGGCAGGCUUCACACAUGCAAGUCGAGCGAGCGGCGGACGGGUGAGUAAUUUCUGGGAAACUGCCUGAUGGAGGGGGAUAACUACUGGACACGGUAGCUAAUACCGCAUACCAUCAGAUGUUCCCAGAUGGGCUUAGCUAGUAGGUGGGGUAAGGGCUACCCUAGGCGACGAUCCAUAGCUGGUCUGAGAGGAUGAACAGCCACACGGGAACUGAGACAAGGUCCAGAAUCCGACGGGAGGGAGCAGUGGGGAAUAGGGCACAAUGGGUGCAAGCCUGAUGCAGACAUGCCGCGUGUGUGAAGAAGGCCGUCGGGUUGUAAAGCACUUUCAGCGAGGAGGCGUUACUCGCAGAAGAAGCACAGGCUAACUCCGUGCCAGCAGACGCGGUAAUAC